AUUCCGGUUGAUCCUGCCGGAGGUCAUUGCUAUUGGAGUCCGAUUUAGCCAUGCUAGUUGCACGAGUUUGUACUCGUAGCAGAUAGCUCAGUAACACGUGGCCAAACUACCCUAUGGAUCCGGCCAACCUCGGGAAACUGAGGCUAAUCCGGAAUACGGCUCUCAGCCUGGAAAUGGCGAGAGUCAGAAACGCCCCGGCGCCAUAGGAUGUGGCUGCGGCCGAUUAGGUAGACGGUGGGGUAACGGCCCACCGUGCCCAUAAUCGGUACGGGUUGUGAGAGCAAGAGCCCGGAGACGGUAUCUGAGACAAGAUACCGGGCCCUACGGGGCGCAGCAGGCGCGAAACCUUUACACUGCACGAAAGUGCGAUAAGGGGACUCCAAGUGCGAGGGCAUAUAGUCCUCGCUUUUCAC
rnacentral:rRNA from 1 species